UACGAGGGAUGCAAGCGUUAUCCGGAACUAUUGGGCGUAAAGCGUUUGUAGGCGGGCGAGUGUGUUUAAUGUUAAAUCUUAAAGCUCAACUUUGAAAUUGCGUUAAAAACUGCUUGUCUUGAGUAUGGUAGGGGUAAAGGGAAUUCCCAGUGUAGCGGUGAAAUGCGUAGAUAUUGGGAAGAACACUAAACAGCGAAGGCACUUUACUAGGCUAAUACUGACGCUGAGAAACGAAAGGUAAGGUAGCGAAACGGAUUAGAUACCCGUGUAGUCUUACCCGUAAACUAUGGACACUAAACGGUAAAUUUUUAAUUUACUGUUAAAGCUAACGCGUUAAGUGUCCCGCCUGGGGAGUAUGCUUGCAAAAGUGAAACUCAAAGGAAUUGACGGGGGCCCGCACAAGCGGUGGAGCAUGUGGUUUAAUUCGACGGUACACGAAGAACCUUACCAGGAUUUGACAUGCUAGAUAGUUGCUUGAAAGAGUAACGUGCCGUAAGGAAUCUAGACACAGGUGGUGCAUGGCUGUCGUCAGUUCGUGUUGUGAAAUGUUGGGUUAAGUCCCGCAACGAACGCAACCCUUGUCUUUAGUUAUUUUCUAAAGAGACUGCCUGUAAUAAACAGGAGGAAGGUAAGGAUGAGGUCAAGUCAUCAUGCCCCUUAUGUCCUGGGCUACACACGUGCUACAAUGGGAAAGACAAUGAGCUGCAAAUCUGUAAAUUUAAGCAAAUCUCUUAAACUUUCUCGUAGUUCGGAUUGUGGGCUGCAACUCGCCCACAUGAAGUUGGAAUCGCUAGUAAUCGCCAGUCAGCUAUAUGGCGGUGAAUCCGUUCCCGGGCCU
rnacentral:rRNA from 1 species